rnacentral:SRP_RNA from 1 species
CAUUGGUUCUCUCGCAGCGAUAAACUACGAACCCCGCCAGGCCUGGAAGGGAGCAACGGUAGUAGUGGACUCGGGUGCCGAGAUGUAGCUGAUGUGG